UGUCAUCCGAGAUGCCACAUAUUAGCUACGCUGCUAAAAACUGAUACAGGACCUACGUUUGAUAGGACUACUAGCACCCCUGACGCAAAUGAAAGGGUUGCUUGUGGAGACAGGAAAUGAAGGAAGCAAUGCUUUUGGCCCAGCUUUUGCUUCAACCAAGCCAGCCACAACACAUGCAACAGAUGUCUAGCA
rnacentral:lncRNA from 11 species